rnacentral:lncRNA from 1 species
AUGACCAUGAAUGCGGCUGAUGGUGUCAUUUCUGGGGAAAGCUCCCACUCUGCUGUCUUGUUAGGACCACACAUGGACGAAACUGCCCAAGACACUAAUCAACAGGUACCUUCAUGUUUAGCACUUUAGAUUUACUCCUAGAAUAUUUUUAACUCGCCGUUUGUUGCUUUUUCUGUCCUUCAAGCAGGUAAAUAAGCUGUUUUUUGAAAUGCAUCUAGAAAGCUCAUGGUAAUGUUAUAUUUUGGACAGAUUUAAACAUUUACAGGGAUGUUCUUUUUGAUAAAAUAUCACUCUAUUCUGGGACAUUCACGACGUCCCCACAGUACACCUUACGUCAGUGUUUGAAUAGAAACUGUGUGUUAAGUAUUUGACAACCUAAAUACUUGGUCUACAAUUGGUCCCCAUAAGGAACCUCGACAUGGUGUGUGAUAUGUCCCCACUAAGCUUGUUUAAUUCAAUAUGUGUGAAAUCAGUCAGAGGUAGAUGGAGGAUAAGGAAAGAUUGAAUUUGAUGAUUUUUAACCCUUAAUUUUGUGCCUGUUGGCAUGAAUUUAACUUUAGAAAUGUGUAAUUAAGAAUAUGCACUAGUGCAAUUAAAUGUUACGCAGUGAUAACCUCAAACUGAAUACUUGUUUUACAUAAUUUGAAAUGGUUUUAUUGUGAAAUGUUUGCAGAUGACCAUGAAUGCGGCUGAUGUCGUCAUUCCUAGGGAAAGCUACCACCCUGCUGACUUGUUAGAGACGCAGAUGGACCAAACUGCCCAAGACACUAAUCAACAGAUGACCAUGAAUGCGGCUGAUGGUGUCAUUUCUGGGGAAAGCUCCCACUCUGCUGUCUUGUUAGGACCACACAUGGACGAAACUGCCCAAGACACUAAUCAACAGAUGACCAUGAAUGCGGCUGAUGGUGUCAUUUCUGGGGAAAGCUCCCACUCUGCUGUCUUGUUAGGACCACACAUGGACGAAACUGCCCAAGACACUAAUCAACAGAUGACCAUGAAUGCGGCUGAUGUCGUCAUUCCUAGGGAAAGCUACCACCCUGCUGACUUGUUAGAGACGCAGAUGGACCAAACUGCCCAAGACACUAAUCAACAGAUGACCAUGAAUGCGACUGAUGUCAUCAUUCUUGGGGAAAUCUACCACUCUGCUGUCUUGUUAGAGAUUCAGAGUGAUGACGUUUCGAGUCCACAAGACACUAAUCAACAGAUGACCAUGAAUGCAGCUGAUGUUGUCAUCCCUGAGGAAAGCUCCUACCCGGCUGUCUUUGUAGAGAUGCAGAUGGAUGAAGCUUUUGAUCCACCAGACUCUAAUCAGCAGAUGAAAGACACAGAUGUUGAAGAGUCAAAUGAUGAAUCUGACUCUGCAUCAGGGAGUAGUGAUGAGUACAUACCAGAUACCACUUCUGAAAGUGAAGAGAGUGAUGCGAGCCUGAAACCAAGGACCAAACCCUUUUCUCUUGAUGACGUAUUGAAUGACUCCGGUUCAAUGAGUCCCCCCAGUCUGUGA